rnacentral:tRNA from 1 species
GGUCAGUUAGCUCAGUGGGUUGAGCACAGUGCUGAGAACACUGAGGUCCCAGGUUCAAUUCCCGUUUGGUCU